GACGAACGCUGGCGGCGUGCUUAACACAUGCAAGUCGAGCGGUAAGGCCCUUUCGGGGGUACACGAGCGGCGAACGAGUGAGUAACACGUGGGUGACCUGCCCUUAGCUCUGGGAUAAGCCUGGGGAAACUGGGGUCUAAUACCGGAUAUGACUCCAUAACGCAUGUUGGUGGGGUGGAAAGCCUUGUGCGGCUAGGGAUGGGCCCGCGGCCUAUCAGCUUGUUGGUGGGGUGANGGCCUACCAAGGCGACGACGGGUAGCCGGCCUGAGAGGGCGACCGGCCACACUGGGACUGAGACA
rnacentral:rRNA from 1 species